rnacentral:lncRNA from 1 species
UUACAUACUUAAUGUAUGCACUGAUCUCUUUGCUGUGCUUCAGGUGCAUGUAUCUGUUUUUCUCAUAUACUUAGCAUUUCAAAACACUAUUUUUUUAAAAAAUUUUGAGGAGACUAGUCAAUCAGUUUAAGUAACGGCCAACGCAAAAUUUCCCCUGAUAUUUUAACAUGCCUCUUUAGAAAACUGCACACAAUUGUAACAGAGCAAACAAAGCCAAUUCGCUUUUACAAUGAAAUAGCUUAAUGCUUUCCUUAAAGGUGGAACUUGAUUAAUUUCUUUUAUGCGGCUGAGCAGGAUGAUCCAAGAAGAAAGAUGUCAUGUAGCUACAGCGUAUUAUUAUUCAUUAUAACAAAGGCCAUGAUAAUAACAACCCAAUAAUAGAAUAUGAAUAGACUUUAGAGCAAUGACACAAUGGAAUUUACAGAAGGCAGCAAGCAGCUUUAAAGAAAACAGGACAGGGACUUCUCAUGGCAAAAAAUGAAUCUUGUUGAUGCCAGGGAAAUGAAAUAGAAACUGGCCCUGCUCUAUUCUAAUUUUACAUUUACUUGGCAGGAGAAGCUCAGAUCUAUGGAAGAACACCAUGCCCUUUCCCAAUGGAUACAGGAAGAAGUUAUUCCUAUCAGCUUGUGUUUAAUGUUAUGAAUCUGACUUACUUGUCAGCAUCAUGAUUCAUGACAGUGAACAGAGAGAGCGUGAAGCCUGCAUUUCCGUGGGGUGGGAAUAGAUUAUAGUAUUUAGACAGCUUUCAUGUCCAGUCUCAGCCAGUCUUGCUGGACAUAAAAGAAACUUCAGAAAAUUCUCCAGAUCUGCUACAGACUCAGCGAGAUCCAGGGAGAUGAAUCAUUACUUGCUGAAGGAGCCCAGCAGAAUCAGGAGAGUUUGGAAUGAAGGACUUAAGUGGAAGCAUCUAACAUUGUUGUUCCCUCUUCCCCAAGAACAGAAGAAAUGGGUGAGUGAUAUGAACCAUUUUUAUGUUUGUCUAUCACAGGUCCCAGACUAAAACAAAAGACAUUUAAGGACAGAAGGCAGUUUUAUCCCCCCGGGGCCUGUCAAUCUGUCUCUUUGCUUACACAAGUGCAAACUGAGAGUUGUGGGAAACAGAAAAACUGUGAAGUGCUUGCCAACAAGAAGCCAAUGCUUCAGGUGGGAAGACAGAACAGCAAGCAGCUAUGAAAUAGUUGUAACUAUUUUAUAAUAAUUUUCUAAAUGUGGUCAUCUUACUCCUGUACUAAAACAGGAAGGGACUGAAGAGUCACUUACAAAUGUGACACCUUUUUACAAGAAAGAAAGUGUUUAAUGUAAAGAGAUGGGAACUAAUCCGUAAUUGUGGUAGAAUGGAAACCCUGAUUUUCCAGGAUUAUAGAAUUCAAAGUAUUUUGCUUCUGCUCUUAUUUGGAUCAUUUUGUAUCAACUUCAUGAACUUGAAAGUUGUAGAACCAGAAAAAAAAAAAAAAAACAUUGCUAGAAUG